rnacentral:rRNA from 1 species
AGCAGCCGCGGUAAUUCCAGCUCCAAUAGCGUAUAUUAAAGUUGUUGCAGUUAAAAAGCUCGUAGUUGAAUUUCGGGGUUAGUAGGUUGGUCAUGCCUCUGGUAUGUACUGGUCUCACUGAUUCCUCCUUCCUGAUGAACCUUAAUGCCAUUAAUUUGGUGUUUUGGGGAAUUUGGACUGUUACUUUGAAAAAUUAGAGUGUUUAAAGCAAGCUAACGCUUGAAUACAUUAGCAUGGAAUAAUGAAAUAGGACGUUCGAUCCUAUUUUGUUGGUUUCUAGGAUUGACGUAAUGAUUAAUAGGGAUAGUUGGGGGCAUUAGUAUUGAAUUGUCAGAGGUGAAAUUCUUGGAUUUAUUGAAGACUAACUACUGCGAAAGCAUUUGCCAAGGAUGUUUUCAUUAAUCAAGAACGAAAGUUAGGGGAUCGAAGACGAUCAGAUACCGUCGCAGU